rnacentral:rRNA from 1 species
GAUGAACGCUGGCGGCGUGCUUAACACAUGCAAGUCGAACGGAAAGGCCCAAGCUUGCUUGGGUACUCGAGUGGCGAACGGGUGAGUAACACGUGGGUGAUCUGCCCUGCACUUCGGGAUAAGCCUGGGAAACUGGGUCUAAUCCCGGAUAGGACAAUGGUUUGGAUGCCAUGGUGGAAAGUUUUUUCGGUGUGGGAUGAGCUCGCGGCCUAUCAGCUUGUUGGUGGGGUAAUGGCCUACCAAGGCGUCGACGGGUAGCCGGCCUGCGAGGGUGUACGGCCACAUUGGGCCUGAGAUACGGCCCAGACUCCGACGUGAGGCAGCAGUGGGGAAUAUUGCACAAUGCGCGCCAGCCUGAUGCAGCGACGCCGCGUGGGUGAUGACGGCCUUUGGGUUGUAAACUCCUUUCGCUAGGGACGAAGCGUUUUUGUGACGGUACCUGGAGAAGAAGCACCGGCUAACUACGUG